GAAGCAGUCAUAAGUUUUCAAUAACUGCUAAAGUGAGCGCGGGAUGUCUUCAGCAUUCUUAUAAAUAUCCAAGAGGCAGUCUAUCAAUGUAAAUCUUUGAAGAUUAUAUUGGAGACAGUCAAAGAAAAUGUGAUCAAGAGUUUGGAUGGAUAAAUUACAGAAUUGACAAAUUGGAGAAUCUAAAACACCGAUCCUAAAUAAAUGAGCACCACUACGAGAAUGUCCCAGACGUAACCGACAAAUUGUGGUGUAAAAUUUUCUGUGGACAUUUAAGGAUAGAAGAAUGGAUGAUAAUUGUUCUAAAUCAACAUUAUUAAAUGCUCCUACAACAUCCAAAAAAACACCAGCCAAUAUCUUAUUGUCAAUCUGGGCACUAUGGAUGUCAAGACAUAAAUGCCGUAUACUCUCACAAGCAGAACGACCACAUCGAAAUCCAAAUUGAUUAUUAGGAGAGCCAAUCCAAACCGCAUGCAGAGUCCUUUCUUGAUGAUAGACCAGCUUUUAAUUCUUUAAUAGUAAAAGGGGCAAUCAUAAAAGAGUUGGUGCUAUUUAAAGAAUCUGGAGUAUAUUUGUGUAAAAAGUUGGAUAUCCAAUUAUUGCUAGAGAAACAAUUAUUAUUAGAAUAUAAGUUCUUAAAUUUCCUCAUUUUUGUCCAAAUCUGUUUCUGGAGCAAAAAUCUGUCCAGGAUUUACGACGUUCAAGAAUUAGUACCCACUGUAGUUGGUUGAUCAUUAUUUAAGAGCAUUAAGUCAUUAUCGUCCAUUACAUCCAUGAUGUCUCUACCUCUAGAAUUGGUUCUAUUACAACCCCAAAUGUUAUGGUGAGCAUUAAAAUCACCAGCAAUUAUUAGUGGUUUUGGAAUACUAUGCAACAGUCUGUUAAAUUUAGAUUUGUCAAAGUUAGGUACACUGUUGCCAGGACUAUAAAAGCUAACAAUUGAGAUGUCUUUUUGUUCGUAUUUAAUUUUGAUUGCUACAUUUUGCAAGGAGUUAUCAGAAAAUGUUUCUAACUUAAAUAAAUGCCAUUUCUAACAAAAAUUGCUACACCAUUGUGAUCAUUACCACAAUCAUUUCUUAGUAUUGUAUAACCUCUGAUAGAAAACUGUAUAUUUGGUUUAAGCCAACUUUCUGAUAUAAGUGCUAUGUGUAUGUCCUGCUCAUAAAGUAGGUUUAAGUCUGUUACUCAACAGACUUUGAGCAUUCCACUGUACUAUGUUAAGUUUGUGACAGUUGAAUGUGACAUUUUAUUUUUAAUUUGUAUGGUAUCUUUAAUAGCUGAACUAAUUGUGUGUGAGCUAAUGCUUUGAUUCUGUGUUUUAUUUAGUGUAAUGACUUUUAUUAUUGAUUCUGUGAUUAGGUUCAUUGCUGCUGGAUUGGAUAAAAUUAAAUUAAUGAUGUCUUGUGUGUUCUCUGUCUUAUUGAGUGAUGGAAAGUUUGUUGGAUGUUUAAAUAAAUCUGAUAAUGGUGUUUUA